rnacentral:misc_RNA from 1 species
AUUUUUUAUUUUUAUUUUUUAAAAGAAGAUUUGAACUUUUAUUAACAAAUUUCAAGAUUCAGCCAUGCAAGCUAUCAAAGCUUCUUCCUUUUCACCAUUUCACCUCAACUUGAACUCAACUAGUUCAUUUCCCAAAACUACCAACUUGUAUAUUCAACAAAAUUAUGAAAACCCCAUUUCUUGUUUUCCCUCAAUUCAGACACAAAAUGCAAAAUUCAAGG